UACAGAGGUGGCAAGCGUUGUUCGGAAUUACUGGGCGUAAAGGGCGCGUAGGCGGCCUUCUAAGUCAGACGUGAAAUCCCCCGGCUUAACCUGGGAACUGCGUCUGAUACUGGGAGGCUUGAGUAUGGGAGAGGGAUGUAGAAUUCCAGGUGUAGCGGUGAAAUGCGUAGAUAUCUGGAGGAAUACCGGUGGCGAAGGCGGCAUCCUGGACCAUAACUGACGCUGAGGCGCGAAAGCGUGGGGAGCGAUCCGG
rnacentral:rRNA from 1 species